rnacentral:rRNA from 2 species
UCUGGUGAUUUGACGCAGUGGUCACACCUUUUUCCAUUCCGAACAAAGAAGUUAAGCGCUGUUGUGCCGAUGAUAGUCUUAGGGCAAAAGUAGGUAGUCGCCAGAA